GCGGAGGCCGGGCAGGGGAAGGGAGGCCGCGGGGCCCCGGCUGAAGCUGGGCCGCUUCAUGGUGCUGCCAUCCCGCUGCCAUCCCGCUGCCAUCCCGCUGCCAUCCCGCUGCCAUCCCGCUGCCAUCCCGCUGCCAUCCCGCUGACACCGAGCCCUGGCCCCGCCAUCUGCCCACACCGGGCCGGGUCCCCACGGCUGCCGGGCAGAGCCGGGCCCAGCACGGCCUGAAAUCCAUCGCCAUGAGUGCUGCGGCCACUGCCCGGCUGAAACCAUCGUGAGCAUCCACAGGCCUGGGUGAGAUAUCAACUCUCACUGCACAGACGAGACCUGCAGAGCUCGAUCCUCCCCUCGGGUGAGAGUAAAGGACAGAGUGAGGACAUGUAGAAGACAACAUGAAGAUGCCAAAGUCAGUAAAGAAGGAGUCAAGUCCCAGAUGGAAGGAGAAUGAGGAGAUGAUCUAGUACCAGUGCUGAAAGUUCUUUUGGUAAGGCCAUGGAGAUGGACUAUGAUACACUAAAAUAUCCCCUUUAACUCCCGAGAAAGUAUGGGGGAUGGAGUGUUCAAACUGUAGGUGUGAGCAGAGGCAUCCAUAACGAAGCAAAGCAGAUGUUGAGGGAGCUGUGAUCCCAUGAGAAGCUUGAAUAGAGAGACACAAGAGUGAGGAAGAGCCUUUGCCCCCAGGGAGAGGAGAAGGUCUCUGUUCCCAGAGAUGAAGAUGAUGGCAGAGAUAGAUGAAAGCAAUACAAUCAGCACACCCACACAGGCUGACACAAAGGGUUCCAGCAAGAAUGGCUGUUCCUUCCUAAUCCACUACUGAGAAGAUAUGCUAUUUGCAAGGCAUAGUGUUUCACUCACCUAUGAGCAAAAGUUCUAAUUCACCAGUGUGUAAUUUUGUAACAGGUUGUAUUUCUCUUUAUAAAAUCCCUUUUUUCUUUA